CGGGGUUCGACUCCCACGCUCUGCGAUCCACUUCCCCAGCGGGCCAGGCUGUGUGGAAACAGGCCGGGCCCUGGCUUCCCGCCGCUUGCCAAGGACUAACCGUCCCAGGUGUCUCCUGUUAAGCGGCCGCCGGAGCCUCCCUUCCACCCCGCGGAGAAUUCCCGAAGAGCCCGAGGCCCGGGCUGCUCGCUGCGGGCGGGGCCCACCUAACUUGGCCCUGUCACGCCCCUUCCCGGGCAUCCCAGGUGGCUCGGGGCGGGGAGGGGCCGCACCAACGCCAGCCAGCCGCCAGUGAGCUGCUAGCUGGGACCGGGACCGGGAGCAGGGAGCCGGCCGGACGCGCGAACAGGCCCGGCGAGCGCGGCGGAGCUGCGGCAUGCUCCCUCACGGCACAAGGUGUUCUCAAGGGAAGCACUCCCUGUCAUGAUAUCGGAUACAACGGCUCAACCUGAUAAAUCUGGACAUUCACAGAGGCUUUCAGGAUAAAGUGUCUAUAUCAAAUGGCUUCCAGGAUGGCCAGUGUCUCUUCUGAACAUCACGCAAGCAGGACAGGACAGGAGCUGGGAAUGCUGCAGCCAGGAGGACCCCAUCCAGAUCGUUACAAACAGCACCCCCAGAUCAUUUGAUCUUAGGGAAGAAAAGGGAAUCAAACCCUGUGCCCCUGACAGGAAAUGACAGGAUGAACAUUUUCCUGGCUAAAAGUUUGAAAUAUACACCUCUGCCACACACAAAAUUUUCACCCGUUAUUUCUUUCCUUAUACUUUCCACAUUUAAAAUGUACAAUUUCAUAGACUAAUCCAGUUUAUACACCCUAAAUGCAUGACACCCAUUUUUUCAGUUAUUCAGUCAGUAUUUACGGAGCACCUACCACGUGCCAGGCAUCGUUUCGUUCACUGCCAAAGCUUCAGUCCCUAAAACAAAGUUGCUGCUCUCAGAGUUCUGACUUCCCCAUGCUUUGCUAAUGGUUUCCUGCAUGAGCCCUCACAUACGACACCGUCCUUUUUUAAGAUAACAUUUUUUGAGGGUUUAUGCGUGUCAGGCACCGAACACCAUUAAUUCAUUUAAUUCUCACAGCACCCCUGUGAGGUGGUACGAUUUCUAUCCCCUCUUUAAGGAUGAAGAAUUUGAAAUUUAAAGACAGGAUAAGUAACUUACCCAAGGCUACAAAGCUAGUAAAUCACUGAUAGGAUUAAAAUGUAGGUCCAGUUCCAAACUCCUCCAUCUUAAUCCCUACGCUAAACUGCCUUCGAAACUUCUUAAAUAUAGUUGGCUAUG